rnacentral:lncRNA from 1 species
UUAAGAAAUCCGAUCGAAGGCUCAAUGCGGCUAUACAGAAUAGAUCGAUGAACGAUCUUUAGAUGAUAGCACGAGAUCCAAGGAAGAUUUUGCGACGGUGGAAUGAUUUGUGAUGGAAUGGAAGAAGCGCAAUGAUUAGGGUGGAAUUUUAGAUAAAUUUCAUUGAUAAUCCAAACAUACUGUUUUUACAUUUAUUUAUAUCAAUUCUGAAAUUGCAAUAUUUAAACUAGAUAGGGACUACUAAUUAAAUUUUCCCCUUUAUUGAUUUAGCCACUUGACCCUGACCCAAUUUCAUAAUCUUUCAUAUAGGUUGGUCUUCUUGUGGUUCAGACCGGUUUAAGAUGGUUGGACGAGCCAGGUUCAUCCAACAAUUCCCUUGAAUCGGUCUCCCCCUUUCCGAAAGUGAUUUGGUCUUCCUCCUCUGCUCUAUCUCCGACGUCCUCUGCUCCAGACGAAUCGACGACGGCCUGAAUGUCGUUCUUCAUCAUACAGUAACCCAAUGAUAAUGUAUCAUCUCUCCAGCCUUCAAAAUCGACCUUGUCCUCAAGGUUGAUAGUUGGAAAGAACUUUUGGACAUCUUCUAUUGAUUCCCAAGUAGCAUCCUCAGGUAUCGUCCCACUCCAUUGCACCAACACUUGUUCUUUCUUUUUCUUACCUCCUUACAUAAUAAUCCUACGAUUCAUUAUAGCCAUAGGAUAAAUUAAAGAUUUGUUAUCAACUGAUAUUAGAGGCUCCUCAAUAUUACUGUUUUCAGGAGGAGGGCCACUAAAUUUCCUUAAAUUCGAGACAUGAAAGGAAGGAUAGAUCUUGCUCUCAGAAGGUAACUCUAGUUGGUAAGCCAUAUCAUUGAUCUUCUUGGAGAUUUUAUAGGGCCCAAAAUAUUUUUUCCCCAACUUGUUGUAUAGUCUAUGGGCAACAGUAAGUUGCCUGUAUGGUGUUUAUCUCACAAGCACCCAAUCUCCCACAUUGAAAGAAAUUUCUGCUCUUCACUUGUCUGUCUGAAUUUUCAUUUUAUUUUGUGCUAAUUCCAGAUUUUGUUUAAUUUUCUGUAAGGUUUCUUCUCUUAGAUUUAGAUUGAUAUUAACAACCUCCACUGAUGAAUCUCCUUCAGUGUAGUGUGGGAUAUCAGAUGAUUCCUUCCCAUAGAGAGCCAUAAAUGGUGUCAUACCUAGAGAUGAAUGAUGACUAGAGUUAUACCACAACUCUGACCAUGGUAAUGUUGGAUCGUGAUCCGAGACUAUAAGGAGGGAUAAUAGCCUCUUUUCGAUUAGGCAGGUUAAAUGCGAAAUUACAUGCAAAUACUUGAUACACAAAUGGUUGAAUAACAAUAAAACUGAUUAUAAUAUUAUAUCUUACAAUAUAAUAUUAUAUAUAUUUAUACUCUUGUCUUUUCUCUUCAAAGCUUACUACAGUAUAUAAAUACUGAGUCAACUUAUUAGAUAGUGUUUUAUAAACAACUGUAGUAUAUAGAUACUAAGUUAUAUUAUAAGUGCACGUUGUAGUAUUAGAGUAAAAGACCAGUUAACUGGAUAUAAGAUGAUAAGUAAAUAAUUGACCAGAUAACUUGAUAUAUAUGAUAAAUAACUGAUCAGGUAACUGGAUAGAGAUUUGAACAAUAAAUAUAACCUCAGAUACUUGACCAGAUAACUGGAUGAGGGAUCUGCAGAAAGUAGUCAACCUCUAUACUUGACCAGAUAACUGAAAGGGGGAUCUUUUUAAUUAAGUGUUGUUUUUAGAAAAUAAAAUUAAAGUUAACAAAGAACAACACAAAAGAUUUAUACUGGUUCACCCAAACAAGGGCUAAUCCAGUCCCGACAAACUAACAGAAUUCACUGGCCUAAAGGUAAUGGCAAAACCUUAGAGUAUCAAGGAAACUCUUAAAACCCUCUCUAAGCUUUAAAGCUACUUCGCUUAGGAACCAGUCUUUUACGGGUAGACUCGCACCUUAGAGUAUCUCUUAAGAACUUCUAACUUUUACGGGUAAGUUAAUACCUCAGAGUAUCAAAGAACUUUUAAAAACCUCUUUAAGUUUUAAGGCUACUUCGUUUAGGAACAAGUCUUUUACGGGUAGACUCACACCUUAGAGUAUUAUGAAACUCUUAAAAACCUCUAACUUUUACCGGUAAGUUAGGACCUUAGAGUAUUAAGGAACUCUUAAAAACCUAAAAAUCUUUCAAGGUAGAUUCGACCUAAGAGUUUUCCCGAAAACUUUAUAAAACCAAACAAGAGCUUUAUGGUUGAGCUCAAAAACCUUCUCUCACACUUUGGUGAUAUUGAGACAAACCUCUUAACCAAAGUGAACAUACACAAGAGAGGAUUAGAGGAGUGGAAUAUUUAAAACACACAAAACUUCUUACUUGUAAAGAUGAACAAGAAGGUUAGAAGUAGAAGUUGGAGAGCUUUUAAAGCUUUUGGAAGCUUGGACACUUGAGAGCUUUUGAAAGCUUGGAACCUUGGAAGCAAAAACACUUUGCAGAUCUCAAGAUGAGGAGUGAAAAACUCUUUGGAGUGCU